rnacentral:rRNA from 1 species
AUUGAACGCUGGCGGCAGGCCUAACACAUGCAAGUCGAGCGGAUGAAGGGAGCUUGCUCCUGGAUUCAGCGGUGGACGGGUGAGUAAUGCCUAGGAAUCUGCCUGGUAGUGGGGGAUAACGUCCGGAAACGGGCGCUAAUACCGCAUACGUCCUGAGGGAGAAAGUGGGGGAUCUUCGGACCUCACGCUAUCAGAUGAGCCUAGGUCGGAUUAGCUAGUUGGUGGGGUAAAGGCCUACCAAGGCGACGAUCCGUAACUGGUCUGAGAGGAUGAUCAGUCACACUGGAACUGGGACACGGUCCAGACUCCUACGGGAGGCAGCAGUGGGGAAUAUUGGACAAUGGGCGAAAGCCUGAUCCAGCCAUGCCGCGUGUGUGAAGAAGGUCUUCGGAUUGUAAAGCACUUUAAGUUGGGAGGAAGGGUAGUAAGUGAAUACCUUGCUGUUUUGACGUUACCAACAGAAUAAGCACCGGCUAACUUCGUG